AGACUCAACCUUUCGGGUUCUACCCGGCUGGUUGGAUUUGGGCGUUGCCUAUUGCUGGCUCGCCUUAAAAGCGUUAGUGGUGUGAUGGUGGACCUGGUGUAAUACGUUUCGUCGAGUUUACUUGAAGCACUGCUCAUAACAACCAUACUUGUAA
rnacentral:misc_RNA from 1 species